rnacentral:SRP_RNA from 1 species
CCGUGCUAGGUGGGGAGCUAGCGGUGCCCUGUACCCGCAAUCCGCUUUAGCGGGGCUGAAUUCCCACCCUA